rfam:Myotis lucifugus cont2.36858, whole genome shotgun sequence.
GGCAUUUCUCAGGUGACACACCCCGGAAUCGGGCUCCCUCCUCUCUGUUUCCGGAGGCGUCACCCAAGAACUGCA